UACGUAGGAGGCGAGCGUUAUCCGGAUUCACUGGGCGUAAAGCGCAUGUAGGCGGAUGUCUAAGUCGUGUGUUAAAGCCCCUGGCUCAACUGGGGGAGGUCAUGCGAGACUGGAUGACUUGAGGGCAACAGAGGCACGUGGAACUCCCGGUGUAGCGGUGGAAUGCGUAGAGAUCCGGAAGAACACCGGUGGCGAAGGCGGUCUGCUGGGGUAAUGCUGACACUGAUGCGCGACAGCGUGGGGAGCAAACAGG
rnacentral:rRNA from 1 species